GCCUUCUUAGCAUAGCUGGCAGCAUAUCAGUCUCAUAACCUGAAGGUCCUGGGUUUGAGUCUCAGAGAGGGUA
rnacentral:tRNA from 1 species